UUGCAGCUCGCUUGCUGUUGUUAGCUAUAUCUUUGAAAAUAACUUGUGUGUGUGUGAAACGUUGUUGCAUUUAAACUUCAGAUCAAUGGUGACUUUGUGGUGGGCUGAACAUGAAAAAUAUAUUUGCAGUGGGAAGUAAUGGUUGUAAAUUUAGAUUGGGAAACGCUUAGCCUAAUGGUUGUAUAUUUGUAUUCUUAUGAUUGGGGCCUACUGGCUUAUUAUGUCCGAGUGAAUGGGCUGCUUAUCUUUUAACAUCAUGCUAUGUGUGACUGUUGUCUUUCUAUCGGCCCUGUGUGUUUCACAAAACGUGCGCUCUCCUACAUGCGGUACGCUGCACAUUACGGUCACUGUCCUUUCAGCAUCAUCAGCCUGUCACAUUAACAUCCUAUGACGUGUCACUGUUGUUGAAUUGGUGAGAGUGUGAUAGUGAUGGCGUUAGGCUCCAAUAGGUUGUGUAAGCAGUGUGGUUGUUGUUGCUGAUAGCAUUUUCAGUGCAGGUGCUGUCUCUGUGUGAGUGGCAGCCCAAAGUGUGGUUCAGCCUCAGGCAUGUUUUAUUCAGUUGUGCGCAUUAAGUGAUGCUAUGUUGAUUUUUGAGUUUGAUACAAGGUGUUGGAAGAGUUUCUUCCCCACUGAAGGCCUAGGUACUAUAGCCAAGGUUCACCGCGGCUGUGUUUUGUGGUUCUAUGUUGUUAGAAACCUAUGAAUAUAGAUAUGCACAUCCCACUACAGUAGGUCAACGUUUGAACAAAAAUAGAAAAUAAAGGAUUUUACUGUAUGUAUUACGUUAUAGCCUAGGUAAGUAUACUCCCACACAACAACAAAGCAUUUCAGAAAUAGACCAUAUUUUAUCCUCAUCAGAUUGUCCCUUAAGGAAAAAACACAUGAAUUUCACAUGUGAUCAUGUGUUUCACAAACUGUUCAAAGGCACAUAAAUCUUUUUCCUUGCCCAUUUACCCUCUGAAUGGCACACAUACACAAUCCAUGUCUCAAUUAUCUGAAAGUUUAAAAAUCCUUCUUUAACCUGACUCCUCCCCUUCAUCUACACUGAUUGAAGUGGGUUUAAUAGGUGACAUCAAUAAGCAGUGGUGACCAGUCAUUCAGGGCAGGUGUGGCAGAGCAAUGUAAAAAAACGAUGUGAAAGAAAUUGCAUUAAUAAAGCCCCACCUGUCCUCAUUUUUACUUUCAUGAGUAAGGCAGCUCCAAAAUGCAGCUGUUUCAGCCUAGCUCAGUGAUAAAACGUAUCGGUGCCCAUCGGCCAUCAGCCAUAAACAUUACACAACAAGUUGGAAAUCGCUAAUUCAACAAUGAGUAGUGUGGAAGGAGUCAGUGGCUAUCUGCAAGCGCUACAAAGCAGUGACUAGCCUGCUAUUUGGUGGAGAGGGUGUAUGGUCCAAGUCUGGCUUUAAGUGUCUCUUUUCACAGGUUAAAAGGAUAAACAUUCACAUUCAACACAAUAGGCCAGAAAAGGUUGAAUACAUUGGCCAUGCUGUCUAUGAAGGAUGACUCCUGCCACAUUCAAAACAACUGGAAACUCAGAUCUGGGAAAUCUCAGACUUCAUUUUCUUCAAAGCACCAAGAGAAUGACAGAUUCUGAUGACAAAGUUUGAUGACAAAAUGUGUCCACAAGAAGGAGCGGCGCGCCACCUCACAAGAUGGACCACCCUGAGGCAGGGCCCUGAGUAGAGGGACCUGUGAGAAGGUGGAACUGCCAUAGGACUGAGAUCAGCUGAUGAUUGUCUGCAGCUGGCUUUGAUCGUAGUGUAAUGACACAGGCAGAGAGCGUGAGUAGUCGAAGAACCACCAACCUUCUGGCCCGUAACCAUGUGUGGCAUCAAACUGCCACUACAAAAACAUGCUGUAGUGGCAACGUCGAUAUCCACAUUUAUAAGCACAAGUGCCGGGGUCAGCAAAGCUCCCAAGUGACCAGCGACAGGGCCAACAGCCAACUGACUGCCUACUCUACUCUGACCUCCCUUCAUUAGUAACCCCCUCCCUGGGCUUCUCCUCAGACCUGGGGCUGCUGGGGGGACCUAUUUGUGGUCCUCCACUCGUCUGAGGGGAAGGGGAUAGCGGGAUAGAGACUGAAGGAACAACAGCUGCUGAUGGGGACAUCACGCUUCCCAUGGAAGAGCAGCAUCCUCCUGAGAGAAGGUGCUGUAAUCUGCAGGAAUCGAAUUCUCAGUCAUACAUGAUAGCCACAGUAUGUCUCGAAGCCACAUUGUAUGUGAGUGAACACAUGACGUUGAACAUAUUGACACAUGACGUUGUGUGAUCUGUAUUGUAUUUACAAAAACAAUCAACAGUGCAAGUCACAUGAUGAUCUUACACGGAAAGCUCUUGAAAACUUUCACAGACACACAAAAACAUAGAGAUAUUAAAGUCGUUAUACAAGCAGUGUUAAAUGGACAAAGUGUAAUUAAAUGUACUUUGUGUUCAGAGAAUCUGCUGGGGUGCCAGAGGAAUGCAAAGAAUUGUAGGCACUUUUUUCUGAGACGGUAUAGUGAUGCCAUCAUAAGUUGCAAUGGGAAACAUUUACACACAGCAAACAACCCAGUGGGUUCACUAGUAGCAAUACAAGGUGACAUCAUCUGUCUGAUAAACAGUCUUGUGUCUGUUUAAUAAUUUAUUUAAUAAGGUGUUAUUUACUUAACUGACUUGAUUUUGAGUGAAUCUGGAUUCUGCUUAUUCCACAUAUUUAACUUGGUUUAAAAUAAUCAUACAUGUAUGAAAAAAGUCAACCAUCCUAAAUUGGUUUAGACAUGAUUCUUCUGCCCCCUGGCUGUGGAUAUAGAGAAAUAUAAUGUCUCCUAUUGCCAUGGAAGUGUUUGUCUUAACCAAUAUAUCCGUUAAACAAUGUAAACUACGGUUUGGUGCCAUUAUUGCUUAAGCAAUCUCUAUUUGGCACAACAUUUGAAAACAAUGUAACUGAGAAUCAAAAUGGCAUGCCCAUACUUCAAUGUUUCACUAUAACGCCUUGCGAUCUUUGAGAGUAGCCUUUUGCAUUCCCCCCCAAUAGUGCAAAUGUGGAAUCUGUAUCCUUGCCGUUAUCAAGGACAGUAAUGGUUUGAGAACACUCCAAAAUUUGAAAGGCACAUUACAGGCAACUCCUUUUUUUCUAUAUGUACAACUUAGGUCAACUAUGCUGGUCUAGAGUCCCUUGGGAGACCCAACUACUGAACCUGGACUCCCAAAGGGGCUGAUCUCUAUACUAUAUAAACAACUUUUUGAAAGCUCAUAUUCUGAGCGAGCCAUUCAAAUGAUUAUGGUCCACAGAUCUAAGUGAAUAUGAACAACCCUUUAACUCGAACAGAAUAUGAAAAAUAUGACUUUGGCAUCCCAUAAUCCGAACCAUCACCUUAUACAUUGAAGUUUGUUAACAGAUUGUAUUUAACACCAAUGAAACAUUUUAAGAUGAAAUUUGCCCCGACUGUUCACUGUGUCCCCUAAAUCAGGUAGGCACAUUCCUUCAUAGGAUGUGUGAUUGCCCUGCAGUUAAAUGCUUCUGGGUCAAAGUUACUCCAUUUCAAAGUGCAUGAAUGUAAAUAUUCAAUGCUUUGCAUCUACUAUGUUACUUAAUGACUCAAUAAAUCAGAGACAAUUACUGCUGUCAGGCAGCACUGCCAGAAAGAAAGAUGUUGGCUCUUAUAUGGCAUUCACCUCACUCUCUCCCAAUUCGCCAGUGGAUACAGUUACUAUUAUUACUAUUAAGUUAUAACAUUAGAAUUAUCAACAGUGAGAAUGAAUGGUACGUGACAAAGAACAAUUGAGGCCUUGAAAAAUAUACUUGACUCUGUAAACCUUUGCUCCUUUAACAACCUCCACUGUUCUGGGAAGGCUUUCCACUAGAUGUUGGAACAUUGCUGCGGGGACUUGCUUCCAAUCAGCCACGAGACCAUUAGUGUGGUCGGGCACUGAUGUAGGGCUAUUGGGCCUGUCUCGCAGUCAGCGUUCCAAUUCAUCCCAAAGGUGUUUGAUGGGGUUGAGAUCAAGGCUCUGUGCUGGCCAGUCAAGGUCUUCUUGACAAACCAUUUCUGUAUGGACCUCACUUUGUGCACAGGGGCAUUGUAAUGCUGAAACUGGAAAGGGCUUCCCCAAACUGUUGCCAUAAAGUUGGACACAGAAUCGUCUAGAAUGUCAUUGUA